rnacentral:rRNA from 1 species
GACGAACGCUGGCGGCGUGCCUAACACAUGCAAGUCGAACGGAACUGUUUUGAAAGAUUUCUUCGGAAUGCAUUUGAUUUAGUUUAGUGGCGGACGGGUGAGUAACGCGUGAGUAACCUGCCUUCAAGAGGGGAAUAACAUUCUGAAAAGAAUGCUAAUACCGCAUGACAUAUCGGAACCACAUGGUUUUGAUAUCAAAGAUUUUAUCGCUUGAAGAUGGACUCGCGUCCGAUUAGUUAGUUGGUGAGGUAACGGCUCACCAAGACCGCGAUCGGUAGCCGGACUGAGAGGUUGAACGGCCACAUUGGGACUGAGACACGGCCCAGACUCCUACGGGAGGCAGCAGUGGGGGAUAUUGCGCAAUGGGGGCAACCCUGACGCAGCAACGCCGCGUGAAGGAUGAAGGUUUUCGGAUUGUAAACUUCUUUUAUUAAGGACGAAAAAUGACGGUACUUAAUGAAUAAGCUCCGGCUAACUACGUG